rnacentral:rRNA from 1 species
GACGAACGCUGGCGGCGUGCCUAAUACAUGCAAGUCGAACGCAGUGGGGACGGGUGAGUAACACGUGGGUAACCUCCCAUCAGAGGGGAUAACACUUGGAAACCGGUGCUAAACCGAUACUGAUGGAUGGACCCGCGGUGCAUUAGCUAGUUGGUGAGGUAACGGCUCACCAAGGCCACGAUGCAUAGCCGACCUGCGAGGGUGAUCGGCCACACUGUGACUUGGACACGGCCCAGACUCCCACGGGAGGCAGCAGUAGGGAAGCUUCGCCGAUGGGCGAAAGUCUGACCGAGCAACGCCGGGUGAGUGAAGAAGGUGUUGGGGUCGUAAAACUCUUUAGUCAGGGAGGCGGUAUCUACCGAGAAAGCCACGGCUGACUACGUGCCAGCAGCCGCGGUAAUUC